GAAAACUGUCACUAAUCCAACGUGGAACAUGGCGACGCCUCUGCUGCUUAAAGGCAGCACGAGGUCUUGAGCGCUCAAGCGCCUCAGGAGCACCAUUCCGCGCCCCCUGCCGGCGUAGAGCCAUAAACAAACAUUUGAUCCUUCGUGGUACAUAAAGCUAACGUGUUGCGUCGGCGUCCAUGUGUAUGAUUUUGCCCUCGUGGGUUUGGUGCAAAGUGAGAAUUUAAAAUAUCGGCGUCAGCAUCAUCCACAUUUGACAAUUGGUACAUUCGAUUCCUAAACGCCAUAUUCUAAGAUAUUUCUUACUUAAACUUUGGCGUAUGAUGCUUGGAUUUGGGGAUUGAUUUAAAAAAAACCAAUAAUGAAAACUUGUUUUGUUGUAUGUUCUUGCAGACUCCGUAAGUAGGUAUGUGAAUAAAUUGCUUAGAUAGUAGAACAAGUUAGAGUGCACAAAAUAUAUAUACGGUAAAUGUG